UACGUAGGUGGCGAGCGUUGUCCGGAUUUACUGGGCGUAAUGAGCGCGCAGGCGGUCGUCCAAGUCGCGUGUGAAAGCCCCCGGCUCAACUGGGGAGGGUCACGCGAUACUGUUCGGCUCGAAGGCAGGAGAGGGUAGUGGAAUUCCCGGUGUAGUGGUGAAAUGCGUAGAUAUCGGGAGGAACACCAGGGGCGAAGGCGACUACCUGGCCUGUUCUUGACGCUGAGGCGCGAGAGCUAGGGGAGCAAACGGG
rnacentral:rRNA from 1 species